rnacentral:rRNA from 1 species
CACGUAGGGUGCGAGCGUUGUCCGGAAUUAUUGGGCGUAAAGAGCUCGUAGGCGGUGUGUCGCGUCGGCCGUGAAAACCUGUGGCUUAACUAUGGGCUUGCGGUCGAUACGGGCAUCACUGGAGUUCGGCAGGGGAGACUGGAAUUCCUGGUGUAGCGGUGAAAUGCGCAGAUAUCAGGAGGAACACCGGAGGCGAAGGCGGGUCUCUGGGCCGAUACUGACGCUGAGGUGCGAAAGCGUGGGGAGCAAACAGG